AAGUCGUAACAAGGUUUCCGUAGGUGAACCUGCGGAAGGAUCAUUAAACGUUAUAUCACGGGGGCCGGCCUUGAAUUGCAGUUCCCUUGUGGAUCCGCACUUCUCCCCGCCCUGUCGGAACAUUACCCAUGAUUUUUGCGCACCGAUUGUUUCCUCGGCAGGCCUGCCUGCCAGUAGGACCCCUUUAAACCUUUUGCAAUUGCAGUCAGCGUCAGAAAAAAACACAAUAGUUACAACUUUCAACAACGGAUCUCUUGGUUCUG
rnacentral:misc_RNA from 1 species